rnacentral:pre_miRNA from 1 species
AACAUUCAACGCUGUCGGUGAGUUUGAGCAUUAGAAAAAAAACCAUCGACCGUUGACUGUACC